rfam:Eimeria maxima Weybridge genomic scaffold, Emw_scaff750
AGGAAGAGUAUAUAGCGAAACUCGGAAAGAAGGAUCCGUACCUUCGGCAGACGGAUUGGCUAAGCGGGCCAAUCCGAAGAGCCAGAGGACUCUUCACCUGUCGGAGUUGCGUGGGCCCGUUCGUGCUUUGCGACUCGUCAGUGGACCGCUGAAACUGACUACGAUGUUACUGCUGGUCUGCGUAUACAGUGAACAGCUAACUUAGAAGUGGACCGAACAAGGGGCAUCCGACUGGUAAAUUAAUAGGAAACCUUGCGACGGCCGCACACGGUGAUGACGCAGUGAGAUUUCUGUCCAAUGCUCCGAUUGCCAAUGCAAUGAAAUGCAGUCCAGCGAGGGUUUUAACUGCGGAUAUAACUAGGAUGUUACACAUCUGAAAACUGCGCCUUAGAGUUGUGAGCAACGUCCUGGAGGAAAAGGGUAUCCAAUGCCUGCCCGUCCCGUUAGUGGCGUGCAUGAAUAAAUUGGUGAGAUUACCAUUGCCAGUAUAUUCUACAUUGCGAAGCCACAGAUAAGGGAACGGGCUUGGCGGAGAAAGAAGACCCUAUUGAGCUUGACCCUAGUCCGACUUGUGGACGAUCUGCGGGGAGUAGCGUGGGUGGGGCCUUCGGCAAUCGUGCCGUGCUACCCUCAGUGCCAUUUUAUUUAUUCGGUCAAGUUCAAGAAAAGCCAGGGGGGCGUUUAGCUGGGGCGGCACACCUGUGAAAUAAUAGCGCAAUGCGAACAGGAAUACCAUGUAAUCCAAAUGGGGGAUGGCUUCCUCGAUUUUCAUUUUCAGCACGUCUACAAACUAAAGCAUCGCCUUUCGAUCAUUUUGGCCAGAGAAACGUUCCUAUAGACAUGCUAAGGCAGUUGUGAUGGGGAUAUUUGGCUUGUGACAGCCAAAUUCAGGACAAGCAUGCGUUUUUAGAGUCGGAUUAUCUAGCCACCGAAUUACGGAACUAGAGCUAGGCUUAGAACCUUUUGAGGCACAUUAGUCCUACGCUGGUACUAAACUUGGUAGUGAGACAGAUACCCAGCUUGGUAAGCGAAGAGGAAUUGUUCCCGAUAUUACGCUAGCGGCAUUAUUAAACUAUCUUGAACAAUUCUUCCUCCCGUACUAAGUUGAAUUUCUUUCGCUAGUGCGGCGACGCUAUUAUCCUUUGGAUAUGAUUCAAUGCCUCUCAUUCAGAAUCCACAUGCCUUACUCUGGUGCA